rnacentral:rRNA from 1 species
GCAGCAGUAGGGAAUCUUCCACAAUGGGCGCAAGCCUGAUGGAGCAACACCGCGUGAGUGAAGAAGGGUUUCGGCUCGUAAAGCUCUGUUGUUGGAGAAGAACGUGCGUGAGAGUAACUGUUCACGCAGUGACGGUAUCCAACCAGAAAGUCACGGCUAACUACGUGCCAGCAGCCGCGGUAAUACGUAGGUGGCAAGCGUUAUCCGGAUUUAUUGGGCGUAAAGCGAGCGCAGGCGGUUGCUUAGGUCUGAUGUGAAAGCCUUCGGCUUAACCGAAGAAGUGCAUCGGAAACCGGGCGACUUGAGUGCAGAAGAGGACAGUGGAACUCCAUGUGUAGCGGUGGAAUGCGUAGAUAUAUGGAAGAACACCAGUGGCGAAGGCGGCUGUCUGGUCUGCAACUGACGCUGAGGCUCGAAAGCAUGGGUAGCGAACAGGAUUAGAUACCCUGGUAGUCCAUGCCGUAAA